CUAAGGCGAGGCCGACAGGCGUAGUCGAUGCACAACCGGUUGAUAUUCCGGUACCGCUGUGAACGCGUCCAGGCUUAACCGGUGUUGCUAAGGGGAUGCCUGUCCCGGUAAGGGACAGGAGAAACCGACCCACACCGGAGCGGCCAGCAACGCGGGGACGCAGAGAGGUAGGUGAACCCAGGCGACGGUAGUUCCUGGGGUAAGCGUGUAGGGCGGGGCCCAGGUAAGUCCGGUCCCCAUAUAGCCUAAGGCGUGAUACCGAACCGCAUGAGGUGAAGUCACUGAUCCUGUACUGCCAAGAAAAGCCGCUAGCGAGCUUUCACGGCGCCCGUACCCCAAACCAACACAGGUGGGCAGGUAGAGAAUACCAAGGCGAUUGGGAGAACUAUGGUUAAGGAACUCGGCAAAUUACAUCCGUAACUUUGGGAUAAGGAUGACCCUAGUAAAGUAAUGGACUUCGCGUCCGGAGCUUGAUUGGGUGGCACAAACCAGGGGAAAGCGACUGUUUACUAAAAACACAGCAGCGUGCGAAGUCGUAAGACGCUGUAUACGCUGUGACGCCUGCCCGGUGCUGGAAGGUUACGGGGAGGGGUUAGCCGUAAGGCGAAGCUCUGAACCUAAGCCCCAGUAAACGGCGGCCGUAACUAUAACGGUCCUAAGGUAGCGAAAUUCCUUGUCGGGUAAGUUCCGACCUGCACGAAUGGCGUAACGACUUCCCUACUGUCUCAACCAUAGACCCAGCGAAAUUGAAGUACGAGUAAAGAUGCUCGUUAGCUGCAGAAGGACGGAAAGACCCCGUGGACCUUUACUACAGCUUGAUAUUGGUGUUUGGUAUGUGUUGUGCAGGAUAGGUGGGAGACUGGGAAGCAUGGACGCAAGUCUGUGUGGAGUCAACCUUGAAAUACCACUCUGCUCAUGCUGGGCAUCUAACUUGGGCCCGUAAUCCGGGUUGAGGACAGUGUCAGGUGGGUAGUUUGACUGGGGCGGUCGCCUCCCAAAGAGUAACGGAGGCGCCCAAAGGUUCCCUCAGCCUGGUUGGCAAUCAGGCGUCGAGUGUAAUGGCACAAGGGAGCUUGACUGCGAGACCGACGGGUCGAGCAGAAACGAAAGUUGGGCAUAGUGAUCCGGCGGUUGCGUGUGGAAGCGCCGUCGCUCAACGGAUAAAAGGUACCCCGGGGAUAACAGGCUCAUCUUCCCCAAGAGUCCAUAUCGACGGGAAGGUUUGGCACCUCGAUGUCGGCUCAUCGCAUCCUGGGGCUGAAGCAGGUCCCAAGGGUUGGGCUGUUCGCCCAUUAAAGCGGUACGCGAGCUGGGUUUAGAACGUCGUGAGACAGUUCGGUCCCUAUCCUCUGUAGCCGAAGGUGAUUUGAGGAAAGCUGUCCCUAGUACGAGAGGACCGGGACGGACGCAGCUCUCGUGUGCCAGUUGUUCUGCCAAGGGCAUGGCUGGUUAGCGACCUGCGGAAAGGAUAACCGCUGAAAGCAUCUAAGUGGGAAGCCUGUUCCAAGAUGAGAUCACCCACCGGGACAACCGGGUAAGGCCCGUGGCAGAACACCACGUUGAUAGGCCGGAAGUGUACGCAUGGCAACAUGUUCAGCUAACCGGUACUAAUCGGCCGAGGGCUUGGUUCUACAU
rnacentral:rRNA from 1 species